rnacentral:snoRNA from 1 species
GCCGAGACUAGAGUCACAUCUGGACACUGCCUGUUGUCCUGGUGUGCUAGAGUACUCGGAUAGUAACCACUAAUCUAUAUUCACUGGCUGUGCCCUUUCUUGGCUCAGUCAGUCACCAGGUUAGUGACAGUC